UAGAGACCCUGGAGGUGGAUCUGCCUAGCUCUUGACUCUGGUGCUGCCCCCCCUUGAACAUGGCUUGACAGCCCGGAGAUAGAGCCCCCCUCUGCAGCAGGCAAGCUGUGGAGCAGUGCCCUGGCCAAGAGCUGGCAGGACCGCAGCAGGCCACGAGCUGCCAGCUGGGGCAUCGCCAAGUCAGAAAUCUCUACGCCACACUCGGGAGCAUGGUGCGGGUGCACGUCCAGUGUGCAAUAAAAGGCUCUGGGGGGAAUUGGCCUGCUCUUCUUUGAAAGCGAACUUGCACAUUAAAUGCACGCUAAGCCUGGUAACAUGCAGGUUUACAAAGCACCGGAAUGCCAAUAAAUGGAGACCCUGGAAUUACAUGCAGUAGCUUUUGGUGGAUAAGCUUUCAGAGACCUAGAUGAAAGGAGUCAUACGCUCGGAUGGAUGGAAGAGAAGAUUUCUACUACCAGUUUGUUCCAUGCCAAGAUUAAAAUGUAAAAGAAAUGCUGUUUGGUAUGGUACACCGCUGCCCUCUGCGGUGACGAAUACGAGUGAGCAUAUGGCCAGAGAACUCUGGGAAAAAAGGAUUCUGGAUAGAAUAGACAAAGACUGAAAAAAGAGGCGAAAAAAGUGAUGGAAAAGGUGUCAGGCCAUUUGCUUCUCCUGUUUCU
rnacentral:lncRNA from 1 species